rnacentral:rRNA from 1 species
GACGAACGCUGGCGGCGUGCUUAACACAUGCAAGUCGAACGGAAAGGCCCUGCUUUUGUGGGGUGCUCGAGUGGCGAACGGGUGAGUAACACGUGAGUAACCUGCCCUUGACUUUGGGAUAACUUCAGGAAACUGGGGCUAAUACCGGAUAGGAGCUCCUGCUGCAUGGUGGGGGUUGGAAAGUUUCGGCGGUUGGGGAUGGACUCGCGGCUUAUCAGCUUGUUGGUGGGGUAGUGGCUUACCAAGGCUUUGACGGGUAGCCGGCCUGGGAGGGUGACCGGCCCCAGUGGACUGAGGGAGGCGCCCGAGCGGCAUAGGGGGGAAGGGGGGGGAAAUUUAGCAAACGGGGGGGAGGGUGGGAAGAAGAACGCCGGGGGGGGAAGGACGGCUUUUGGGUAGGAAACCCAUUUCGCUGGUAACGAGGGGUGAUGAAGGGAAAGGGGGAAGAAGCACCGGCUAAAUUCGGG